GGGAGCUCCCACCGGAAGGGUGGGGCAGUGUUGGCUGGGAAAGAAUCUUCCGGAAGUCUGUGUCCUAGAAGUUAUCCCCGCACAAGCCACAGGCGCCUGAGCUGUGCGUGGCGGGAGAGGCAGGGCUGGCAGAGCCCGGGAGGGAGGCAGGCACAGAGCCACUGGGAGUGGGGCGGGGACGGAGCCGGGCUGGCAGGACUUGGGGCCAAGGCGGGACAGGCGAGUGUGACAGCCACAGCCAAGGCCAGGGCGGUGUCCCUGCACCCUGUGUGGGUUUGGGGGUGUCUGGCCGGGGCGGGGUGUGUGCGAAGUGGGUGGAGACAGAAAUCAUGCUGGGGAUGUCCACGCGGGAGCGUAGGAGUCAGUGCAGAAAACGCGUCUCCCUGGUGUCGGCAGCUCCGGCCCCCGGGCUGCUGCGGGAGCAAGUAGACCGGCUCCUUAGCGGCUCAGCGCAGCGGACGCCGAGUCCCAGCGGGGGCGUCCUCCUGCAGUGACUCAGGGGCCCUGGCUCUGUCUGUCCUCGGAUGCUCCCUUCCCAACACUUGGCUUCCAAGGUUGGACUGGAGCUGGGACCUGAUUGAACCCCUCGGUCCUCAGUGCCCAAGCGUAGAAGCCGUGGAGCCGCAUGGCCCUGGUGACUGGGCUGCGUGACCCCUCUGUGGCCCCCUCCUGACCUGAGAAAGUGGUGCAAACAUCCACCGCGUCAUCUGGUCGUUAGGAGCACAGAGCCUGACCCACGAUAGACACCACGGGCAUAAUAAAUGCCGCUUUCUGUUUGCUUCAGCAGGAUGUGGACAAAACCUUUAAAUUUGUUUUUAUGCAUUCAAUGCGUCCAGCUGUUACGACUCUGAAGCAAGUGUGAUUUUCAGUCUUUUGUAGUUGUUAUUCAGGGCAGUCCUGUUGUGCUGGGCUUGACUGAAGCGGCCAACACGGUCAUGUGUGUGUCUCCAGGCAGCAACCUGCAGUGAGCCCAAGAUCAUGGUCCAGGGCUCCUCCUCCCGGCAGGGAGGAACUGUCCUCAGCAUCCUCUGAGCCCCAGGUGUGCAGGGGGCAGGGUCAGGUAGAGAGAGGGGAGGAAGUUAGCUGAGGAACAAUGGCUAUUGGUCAGAUUUCCCUACCCCAACCCUGACACAAGCGCCUCGCACAUCAUUGGCUGAGAUCAGUCUCUCCAUUUUCCUAAUCGAUUCUUCAUGCAAAGCCACAUUUUGGAGAAAAGGAAUGGUUAGAAUCAUGGCAGGAUUGCUGAGGCAGUGAAUUGAAGAGGCUGCGUAGUGCUUGCAACCAGUUACCAUAUUUCCCUGGAGGAAUCACCAGCAACCGACUCUCCCAGGACUUACGAGGUGCUUCCCUUAUCACCAGCCGUCUCAGCACAAGUAGUAGUGGCAGGCACAGUGUGCAUUUUGGGUUACAAGCCAUUGCUUGUUGGACUUCUCUGCCAGCCUCUUUACUCAAUUCUCACCGUCCCGGAGCAGAGAACUUCAUUAGAGAAGUAGUGAGACUUUUUCAGUUUCAAAAAUUUAGGUCAGUGCCAGAUCUUCAGCAUCCUUUGUUUGAAGGCAACAGAAACAGGCUCAGCUGAUUGGUGUCAGUUAUUGGAAGCUCAUGGAAUUGAAGAAAAAAAGCGUGGAAAGUCAAAUAACGUGGAGUCUUCCGUUUCAACUGAAGGAGGGCCAGGGACAAAGCAGGUGAUCUUAGAUGCCCCAGGGACCCAGAAGCCAGGCUCAAAGGCUCAGUCCCCACCCUCCUGAACACAGGCACUCUCAAUCAGCUGGCUGAGUUCCUUGUUUGAAGACACUGGAAGACGGAUUCACUGCAGAGGCCCCUGACAGUGACUGAUUGUCCACUGAGAGGCAGUUGUAUAAGAUCAAUGUCAUUCACAAGAGAAGCAAGGAGAAACACACAGCUUUCUAGACACUGGACCGUUUAGUUGUUACAAGCAUACGUACAUUUUAUAAAACAGUAAUUAUAUUGUAGAUAUGGUUUUUAUCCUCAUAGUUAUUUUUGUACAAUUAUGAAAUGCAAGGUUAUUGCUGAGAGAUUCAUCCAUGCUACAGCCAUUGCAAAUUACAUCUUAUCACUAAGCAGGUGCCCCACCUCCUUAUUUUUUCUUAUUAGUAAAAACAUAUUUGUGAUUUAAAU
rnacentral:lncRNA from 1 species